rnacentral:rRNA from 1 species
GCAGUCGAGCGGACAGAUGGGAGCUUGCUCCCUGAUGUCAGCGGCGGACGGGUGAGUAACACGUGGGUAACCUGCCUGUAAGACUGGGAUAACUCCGGGAAACCGGGGCUAAUACCGGAUGCUUGAUUGAACCGCAUGGUUCAAUUAUAAAAGGUGGCUUUUAGCUACCACUUACAGAUGGACCCGCGGCGCAUUAGCUAGUUGGUGAGGUAACGGCUCACCAAGGCAACGAUGCGUAGCCAACCUGAGAGGGUGAUCGGCCACACUGGGACUGAGACACGGCCCAAACUCCUACGGGAGGCAGCAGUAGGGAAUCUUCCGCAAUGGACGAAAGUCUGACGGAGCAACGCCGCGUGAGUGAUGAAGGUUUUCGGAUCGUAAAACUCUGUUGUUAGGGAAGAACAAGUACCGUUCGAAUAGGGCGGUACCUUGACGGUACCUAACCAGAAAGCCACGGCUAACUACGUGCCAGCAGCCGCGGUAAUACGUAGGUGGCAAGCGUUGUCCGGGAAUUAUUGGGCGUAAAGCGCGCGCAGGCGGUUUCUUAAGUCUGAUGUGAAAGCCCCCGGCUCAACCGGGGAGGGUCAUUGGAAACUGGGGAACUUGAGUGCAGAAGAGGAGAGUGGAAUUCCACGUGUAGCGGUGAAAUGCGUAGAGAUGUGGAGGAACACCAGUGGCGAAGGCGACUCUCUGGUCUGUAACUGACGCUGAGGCGCGAAAGCGUGGGGAGCGAACAGGAUUAGAUACCCUGGUAGUCCACGCCGUAAACGAUGAGUGCUAAGUGUUAGAGGGUUUCCGCCCUUUAGUGCUGCAGCAAACGCAUUAAGCACUCCGCCUGGGGAGUACGGUCGCAAGACUGAAACUCAAAGGAAUUGACGGGGGCCCGCACAAGCGGUGGAGCAUGUGGUUUAAUUCGAAGCAACGCGAAGAACCUUACCAGGUCUUGACAUCCUCUGACAACCCUAGAGAUAGGGCUUCCCCUUCGGG